AAAGUGGAGCAAUCCAUGAGUAGAGUGGCAAACGGGUGAGUAACACGUGGGUGACCUGCCUUCGAGCGGGGGAUAACGUCCCGAAAGGGACGCUAAUACCGCAUAACAUCCUGCCUUUUAAGAGGUGGAGAUCAAAGCCGGGGAUCGCAAGACCUGGCACUUGAAGAGGGGCCCGCGCCUGAUUAGCUAGUUGGUGGGGUAAUGGCUCACCAAGGCAACGAUCAGUAUCCGGCCUGAGAGGGCGGACGGACACACUGGGACUGAGACACGGCCCAGACUCCUACGGGAGGCAGCAGUGGGGAAUUGUUCGCAAUGGGCGCAAGCCUGACGACGCAACGCCGCGUGGAGGAUGAAGACCUUCGGGUCGUAAACUCCUUUCGAUCGAGACUAAUGGUUUCCGGGUGAACAAUCCGGAGAAAUGACGGUACCGAGAGAAGAAGCCCCGGCUAACUCCGUGCCAGCAGCCGCGGUAAUACGGGGGGGGCAAGCGUUGUUCGGAAUUACUGGGCGUAAAGGGCUCGUAGGUGGCCAACUAAGUCAGACGUGAAAUCCCUCAGCUUAACUGGGGAACUGCGUCUGAUACUGGAUGGCUUGAGUUUGGGAGAGGGAUGCGGAAUUCCAGGUGUAGCGGUGAAAUGCGUAGAUAUCUGGAGGAACACCGGUGGCGAAGGCGGCAUCCUGGACCAAUACUGACACUGAGGAGCGAAAGCCAGGGGAGCAAACGGGAUUAGAUACCCCGGUAGUCCUGGCCCUAAACGAUGAAUGCUUGGUGUGGCGGGUAUCGAUCCCUGCCGUG
rnacentral:rRNA from 1 species